AACGAACGCUGGCGGCAUGCCUAACACAUGCAAGUCGAACGAGACCUUCGGGUCUAGUGGCGCACGGGUGCGUAACGCGUGGGAACCUGCCCUUAGGUUCGGAAUAACUCAGAGAAAUUUGAGCUAAUACCGGAUAAUGUCUUCGGACCAAAGAUUUAUCGCCUUUGGAUGGGCCCGCGUAGGAUUAGCUUGUUGGUGGGGUAAUGGCCUACCAAGGCGACGAUCCUUAGCUGGUCUGAGAGGAUGAUCAGCCACACUGGGACUGAGACACGGCCCAGACUCCUACGGGAGGCAGCAGUGGGGAAUAUUGGACAAUGGGCGAAAGCCUGAUCCAGCAAUGCCACGUGAGUGAUGAAGGCCUUAGGGUUGUAAAGCUCUUUUACCAGGGAUGAUAAUGACAGUACCUGGAGAAUAAGCUCCGGCUAACUCCGUG
rnacentral:rRNA from 1 species